rnacentral:rRNA from 1 species
AUUGAACGCUGGCGGCAGGCCUAACACAUGCAAGUCGCGCGAGCGGCGGACGGGUGAGUAAUGUAUGGGGACUGCCCGAUAGAGGGGGAUAACUACUGGAAACGGUGGCUAAUACCGCAUACUAUCGGAUAACCCAUAUGGGAUUAGCUAGUGGGUGGGGUAAAGCCUCACCUAGUCGACGAUCUCUAGCUGGUCUGAGAGGAUGACCAGCCACACUGGGACUGAAACACGGCCCAGACUCCUACGGAGGCAGCAGUGGGGAAUAUUGCACAAUGGGCGCAAGCCUAAUGCAGCCAUGCCGCGUGUAUGAAGAAGGCCUUAGGGUUGUAAAGUACUGUCAGCGGGGAGGCGUUACCCGCAGAAAAAGCACCGGCUAACUCCGAGCCAGCCGCCGCGGAAAUAG